GACGAACGCUGGCGGCGUGCUUAACACAUGCAAGUCGAACGAAGCGGAGGACGGGUGAGUAAUGGCUAGGAAUCUGCCUGGUAGUGGGGGAAAACGUGCGGAAACGGGCGCUAAUACCGCAUACUAUCAGAUGAGCCUCGGUCGGAUUAGCUAGUUGGCGGGGUAAAGGCCUACCAAGGCGACGAUCCGUAACUGGUCUGAGAGGAUGAUCAGUCACACUGGGACGUAUACACGGUCCAGACUCCUACGGGAGGCAGCAGUAGGGAAUAUUGUACAAUGGGCGAAAGCCUGAUCCAGCCAUGCCGCGUGAGUGAAGAAGGUCUUCGGAUUGUAAAGCACUUUAAGUUGGGAGGCGUUACCAACCGAAUAAGCACCGGCUAACUUCGUGCCAGCAGCCGCGGUAAUUC
rnacentral:rRNA from 1 species